rnacentral:rRNA from 1 species
AAUAGAGAGUUGGCAGGAGUCGCGGUGAGAGGUAGGGGGCGUGUGGUGAUCGGAGUGAUUGGUGGUGAAGAGUGCGCAGGCGGCUGGGGGAGGCGGAUGUGAAAACCCGAGGCUCAACCUCGGGCGUGCAGCCGAUACUGCUCGGCUAGAGGUAGGGAGUGGAGAGCGGAAGUCCGGGUGUAGCGGUGAAAUGCGCAGAUAUCAGGAGGAACACCGGUGGCGAAGGCGGAUCUCUGGGCCGUACCUGACGCUCAGGCGCGAAAGCUAGGGGAGCGAACUGGAUUAGAUACCCUAGUAGUC